rnacentral:tRNA from 1 species
GAUGUAGCUCAUAGGUAAAGCAUUGGCUUCAUAGGCCAAAGGUCCUGGGUUUGGUUGCCAGCAUC